rnacentral:lncRNA from 1 species
UUGAUUUAGGAUUUAGGGUUUGGUUAGGAUUUGAUUUAGGGUUAAGGAUUUGGAUUAGGAUUUGGAUUAGAAUUUGGUUAGGGUUUGAUUUAGGAAUUAGGAUUUGGUUUAAGAUUUGAUUAGGAUUUAGUUAGGAUUUGGUUAGGGUUUGGUUUAGGAUUUGGUUGGGUUUUGGUUUAAGAUUUGUUUAGGGUUUGGAUUAGGAUUUGGUUUAGGAUUAGGAUUUGGUUUAGGAUUUAGGGUUUAGGAUUAGGAUUUAGGAUUUAGGAUUAGGAUUUAGGAUUUGAUUAGGAUUUUAUUUAGGAUUUAGGGUUGAGAUUAGGAUUUGGUUUAGGGUUUAGGAUUUGGUUGGGGUUUGAUUUAAGGUUUGUUUAGGGUUUGAUUUAGGGUUUAGAAAUUUAUUAGGAUUUAAGAUUUAAUUAGUUUUGUUCUAAAAUUUGAAUGAAUUUCAAUAAGAUUUUAACUAGAAUUAAAU